rnacentral:rRNA from 1 species
UCCGCAGGUGAACCUGCGGAAGGAUCAUUAUUGAAUAAACUUGAACAGGCUGUUGCUGGCCUCCCUCUAGGGGGGGUAUGUGCACGCUUGUCAUAUUUAUCUCUCCAACUGUGCACAUUCUGUAGAUCUGGAGCCCUUUGUAUUCUCGAAUAGAUUGAGGAUUGCUGUACUAGCUUUGCCUCGCAUUUCCAGAUCUAUGUUUUUAUCUUCACAAUGUGUCUAGAAUGUUGAAUCGAAAUGAUAAUCAUAUACAACUUUCAGCAACGGAUCUCUUGGCUCUCGCAUCGAUGAAGAACGCAGCGAAAUGCGAUAAGUAAUGUGAAUUGCAGAAUUCAGUGAAUUGCAGAAUUCAGUGAAUCAUCGAAUCUUUGAACGCAUCUUGCGCUCCUUGGUAUUCCGAGGAGCAUGCCUGUUUGAGUGUCAUUUGAGUUCUCAAGGUCAUACUUUCGGUGUGGCUUUGGAUAUGGAGGUUUGCAGGCUUCUGAAAAAUGAAGUCGGCUCCUCUGAAAUGCAUUAGUGGUAUCUGAGCAGAGACUACUUACAGGUGUGAUAAUUAUCUAUCUAUGCCUUGGUAUGCUGCAUUAAACAGAUUGCACUGCUUAUAACAAGUGAAAUUUGACAAGUUUGACCUCAAAUCAGGUAGGACUACCCGCUGAACUUAAGCAUAUC